rnacentral:lncRNA from 1 species
AAAAAAGAAAAAAGAAAACUCUCUCUGCACAUCGCGGUGGACACCUUGUGUGCAGCCGCAGCCGGUAACCGCCGCCGCCGGUAGCCCUCCCCGCCGCUCCGCUCGCGCCGUCUCCCCGCCGCUCCACUCGCGCAAUGCUCGUGGCCGCGCCGCUGGUUUAACUUUGGGGGAAGCUCUGAUCCGGCGGCCUUCGGACCAAAUCGGCCGCAUCCAGCCGCCCAGUUCGACCCUCUUCCCGAUCCCCCCACUCGCGCUGGCCAGGCCGAGGAGGCGACGGAGGAGGAGGAAGGUGGCCCUCUUCCCGAUCUCCUGAAGUUCUGUUGCUGUGCACGGAUCAAGCUCGCUCACGUUCUGCUGUUGAUCCAACGCCCAGGUGCACACAAGGUGUUUGAGAUAAUUCUCCUAAACUUUUCUACAUCGUUUUACUUUCCUUUUGUGUUUGUGCUAGAUGUUCUACAUCGUUUAAUACAUGUAGAUUGACCAUAUGUAUGUGCUAGAUGAAACUCUCCCAGCUACUUUCCUUUUCUACAUCGUUUGAGAUAAUUCUCCUGAACAAUCAUUUUGGUUUGACAUUGUGCAGUUUGACUAUGUUGUAGAUUGGUGAUAUAUAGAUACACUAAUUACUGGCACUUGCACAAUAAGCUAGCUGUACUCCCAGAAGGAGUGUACAACUUGGUUCUAUUCAGUUGAGAAUGGAUAAGAGUUGGAUGCGAGCAGCAAGGUCUUCCGUCGAGUAUUCUGAAGGAACUACCAACUUCAUAAAUUUUUCUUUUCGUACGUCAGCAAAAAACAGCAGGAUUCUCUGCCCUUGCAAGAUAUGUGCAAACUCUCGCUGGUUAGGUGAACUUGAAGUCUAUGAUCAUUUGAUUUAUGAUGGAUUCAUGGUUGGAUAUACCACAUGGAUUCAUCAUGGAGAAACUAUGCGGCCCUCUGAAACAACUUCAGGUCCUAGUUCACAGUUUGAAGAAUAUGUUGAUAGUGAUGAGAUGGAUGAGAUGCUACUGGAAGGAUUUGGGAUGUACGAUACUCGUACUUUAGGAGAGGAGCAAGAAUCUGAAGAUGAUUUGGACGACGAUGCUGAAGAAUACUACAGAUUAGUUAAUGAUGGACGCCAAGAGCUGUACCCGGGUUGCAAAAGAUUCUCGAAGCUGCAAUUUUUGGUGAGGUUGCUUCACGUCAAGAAUAUGAGGGGAAUGAGCAAUGUCUGCUUUGAUGAGGUAUUGACACUAAUUAAGGAAGCACUUCCAGAAGGUCAUGCCUUGCCCAAAAAUUUUCAUGGGGCCAAAAAGUUUGUGAGAGCCAUUGGUAUUGGAUAUGACAGUAUAGAUGCAUGCAAAAAUGAUUGCAUUCUAUUUAGGAAGGAACAUGAUGAUGCCAUAUCAUGUCCAGUGUGUGGCACAAGUAGAUGGAAGAGCGUAAAUACUGGAGUUGAUGGAAGGCGUGUCCACAAGGUGCCUCAAAAGGUGGUUCGCCAUUUCCCGCUAAAGAAGAGACUCCAAAGGUUGUUCGCUUCUACAAAGACAGCAUCAGAUAUGAGGUGGCACAGCGAAGGCCGCACAAAGGAUGGCUUGAUACGACACCCAGCAGAUUCACCUGCAUGGAAACACUUCGAUGCUACUCAUGAAGACUUCAGUUCAGAAGUUUGCAACAUUAGACUUGGAUUGGGAGCUGAUGCUUUUAACCCUUUUGGAAAUACGAAUCUCUCAUAUAGCAUAUGGCCCAUCAUCUUGAUCCCCUACAACCUUCCACCAUGGAUUUGUAUGAAGCAAUCAAACUUUAUCCUCUUUGUCAUCAUCCCUGGUAAAAAAUCUCCAGGAAAAGACAUGGAUGUCUACAUGCAGCUGACCAUAGAUGAUCUUUUGGAGCUUUGGAAUGAUGGAGUCUAGACUUAUGAUGCCUCUCGAUCUAAGAAGUUUCUCUUACGUGCUGCACUACUAUGGACAAUAAGUGAUUGGCCUGGGCGUGGAUCUUUGUCCGGGGAAAAUUUAGCAGUGUGCUCCCAUUGUCUAUCAGAUACAUGCUCUAUUUGGUUAAAGAAUGGACACAAGAAAUGCUAUAUGGGACAUCGCCGAUUCAUGGAACCUGAUCACGAGUUUCGAUUUGAUGCUGAGUCAUUUGAUGGUUUUGAGGAACAUCGAGAGCCCCCCGUUCCCCUUUCAGCGUAUGCCAUUUCAAUAUUGACAAAGGACAUGAAAACUACAUAUGGGAAACUGCAGCAGAAGAGAAACAAGAAGCGACGUCGUAAUCAGGUAGAUGAUAAUGGCAUGAAUGUGCAGGAAGACACCUCAAUAUUCAGAAAGAGAAGUUGCUUCUUUCAGCUGCCAUACUGGGAAACACUUCUAGUGCGUCAUAAUCUGGAUCCUAUGCACAUAGAAAAGAAUGUGUUUGAGAAUAUUGUCCAUACCCUUCUGAAUGUUAGCAAAAGAUCAAAGGAUAAUUUAAAAUCACGUCUUGACCUAGAACAAUUGAACAUACGCCCGGAUCAACAUCCAGAUUUAACUGGGAGUAAACCAUACCUACCUCCAGCAUUAUACUACUUGGAUUCACACGGAACAAAGAUGUUUUGCCAAGUUCUUAAGGAUGCAAGGUUUCCUGAUGGCUAUGCAUCUAACUUGCACAACAAAGUUGAUAUGAAGAAAAGGAGAUUGAAUGGACUAAAGAGCCAUGACUGUCAUAUUAUAAUGCGUGAUUUGUUGCCCUUAGCCGUGAGGAAAACUUUGCGUGAAGUUGUUUGUGUUCCAUUGAUGCGUCUGUGCAACUACUUCAAGCAAUUAUACUCUAAGGUUGUCAAUGUGAGUGAGAUACAAAAGUUGGAGGAUGAGAUUCCUGAAAUCAUGUGCCAGUUGGAAAAAGUGUUUCCUCCUGCCUUUUUUGACAUCAUGGAGCACUUGACCGUUCAUCUUGCAACUGAAGUAAGGAUUGCUGGACCGGUUCAUUAUCGAAGCAUGUGGGCAGUUGAGAGGUUUUUGGGCAAGUUGAAAAGUAUGGUCCAUACGCUAAGUCACCCGGAGGGAUCAAUAGCAGAGGGAUAUGUUUUGGAUGACACUCUUACAUUUUGCUCGAGAUAUUUGCAUGAUUGUCCAACCAAAUUCACUGAAAGAGGACGUCAUAAUGAUUGUAUUCUCCCCAAUGACUCGACAAACCAACAACCAUACUUGAGAAUAGUCGGUCGUCCUCUAUUUGCUCCUUGUUUUGAAGAACUAGACUACACAUCAUGGAUUCAAGCACAAAGAUAUGUGCUGGUCAAUUACCCCCACAUUGCUCCCUAUGUCCAGUAAGUUUCUCAACACCUGUUCCAUACUCUCCAUGCUCUCUGAACUAGUAAUAACCCUCUCUCAUGUUCCUGUAGACAACAUCAUGAUAUUCUAUCAGUGGGUCAACGCACAAAAAUACGUGAUUUAGAACGUGCCCAUCACAAUAGUUUCCACACUUGGUUUGCUAACCAUGUAAGUUCUGUGAUCACACGCUAAAAUUCUUAAAGCACUUCAUCUGGCGAUAUUGCACUGACUAUGUUAUGUAUUUAGGUUCAAUCAUUGAUUUCCAAUAAUGUUAAGAUCCCUGAAGAAGUUAAAGUCUUAGCACAAAAGCCAUAUCGGAUGGUGAAGAAGUAUAAUGCUUACUCUAUAAAUGGAUGCACUUUCCACACAAGGGGAUAUGGUGAUGGCAAAGAAACACAGUGCGAUGGAGUAUCUAUGAUUGCAAAGACAUCUAGUUUCUCAAGUGCUAAAGAUAAGAAUCCAACUUUAGGAGAUGUUGCUUAUUAUGGACAAAUCACUGAAAUAGUUGAGCUGAAUUAUUCUAACAAAGGCAACGUGGUUUUAUUCAAGUGCGAUUGGGUCGAUAGUGUUCGCCCUGAUGCUAGGGUUCGAAAGGACCCAUAUGGAAUAACUGAUGUGAAUUUUAACCACUUGCUAAGCAGCGGUAGUGAUAUAUUUGACGAGCCAUUUAUCCUCGCAACUCAAGCCACCCAAGUCUAUUAUGUACAAGAUUCUAUAGAGAAGGAUUGGUACGCCGUGGUUCAUCCACCUACAAGAGACUUCUUUGAUAUGGAUGCUAGAAGUGGUGGGAAUGAUGAAUAUUAGGCUAGUGAUAUGGAUUCUAAGAAGUAUCAUCCACCUACAAGAGACUUCUUUGAUAUGGUUCAUCCACCUACAAGAGACUUCUUUAACCUAUACAUUCUUGCAUGCAUGUCCGUGUAACCUUGUUACAUUGCUGAGAACAUUCUUUGCUCUUGUAGAUGCCUAGAAAUGCUGGUACACUCCUGAAGGUUGAAGUUGAAGGUGACACACCGCUGAUUGGCUUGCUCUUGUCUGUGUCCGUCUAUGAUUGAUUGCAUCAAGCUGUAGGCAGUGUACAUUUCUGUUUGUGAUUGAUACUUUGAUAUUGUUUCAGAAUUUGUGAAGAUGUUCUGAUGGUCAUGCUUUACAUUAUUCGCGUGCACGAUGAUACUUCUAGAUGAUGCCAUAUCCAGAUGUUUUACUGUUGGAUAUUAUUCGCGUGCAUAUUAUUUGUGAACACUUGCUCUUGUCUGUAGCCUCUCAAUCUUGUUUUACUCUUGCUCUUGCUCUUGUCUGUUGUGAACACUUG